UACGUAGGUGGCAAGCGUUGUCCGGAUUUAUUGGGUUUAAAGGGUGCGCAGGCGGCCCCCUAAGUCAGUGGUGAAAUACGGCAGCUCAACUGUCGAGGUGCCAUUGAUACUGGGGGGCUUGAGUGGGGACGGGGUAAGCGGAAUUGACGGUGUAGCGGUGAAAUGCAUAGAUAUCGUCAAGAACACCGAUAGCGAAGGCAGCUUACUAGGCCCCAACUGACGCUCAUGCACGAAAGUGCGGGGAUCAAACAGG
rnacentral:rRNA from 1 species